GACGAACGCUGGCGGCGUGCUUAACACAUGCAAGUCGAACGGAAAGGCCCUGCUUUUGUGGGGUGCUCGAGUGGCGAACGGGUGAGUAACACGUGAGUAACCUGCCCUUGACUUUGGGAUAACUUCAGGAAACUGGGGCUAAUACCGGAUAGGAGCUCCUGCUGCAUGGUGGGGGUUGGAAAGUUUCGGCGGUUGGGGAUGGACUCGCGGCUUAUCAGCUUGUUGGUGGGGUAGUGGCUUACCAAGGCUUUGACGGGUAGCCGGCCUGAGAGGGUGACCGGCCACAUUGGGACUGAGAUACGGCCCAGACUCCUACGGGAGGCAGCAGUGGGGAAUAUUGCACAAUGGGCGGAAGCCUGAUGCAGCAACGCCGCGUGCGGGAUGACGGCCUUCGGGUUGUAAAACGCUUUCGCCUGUGACGAAGCGUGAGUGACGGUAAUGGGUAAAGAAGCACCGGCUAACUACGUGC
rnacentral:rRNA from 1 species